rnacentral:rRNA from 1 species
UACGGGGGGGGCAAGCGUUGUUCGGAAUUACUGGGCGUAAAGGGCGCGUAGGCGGCCUGACAAGUGGAUGGUGAAAUCCCUCGGCUUAACCGAGGAACUGCCAUCCAGACUGUUUGGCUUGAGACCGGGAGAGGUGAGUGGAAUUCCCAGUGUAGCGGUGAAAUGCGUAGAUAUUGGGAGGAACACCAGUGGCGAAGGCGGCUCACUGGACCGGUACUGGCGCUGAGACGCGAAAGCGUGGGGAGCGAACAGG